AACGAACGCUGGCGGCGUGCCUAACACAUGCAAGUCGAGCGCGAAAGUCCCCUCGGGGGCAAGUAGAGCGGCAGACGGGUGAGUAAUACAUAGGUAAUCUACCCCCGAGAUCGGGAUAACCCUGCGAAAGUGGGGCUAAUACCGGGUAAGACCACGCAGCAAAAGUUGUGUGGUAAAAGGUGGCUUGUAUUUAUACUAGCUAUCACUUGAGGAUGAGCCUUUUGGCCUAUCAGCUUGUUGGUAAGGUAAAGCUUACCAAGGCUAUGACGGGUAGCUGGUCUGAGAGGAUGAUCAGCCACACUGGGACUGAGACACGGCCCAGACUCCUACGGGAGGCUG
rnacentral:rRNA from 1 species